rnacentral:snoRNA from 1 species
CCACAUGUACACAUCAGGAAUUCACUCUCCUGGGCUCUGUCCAAGAAGAGUAGGGGAGCAUAAGUCUCUGCCCCAUAAUACAGUUCCAACCCCCAAUGAUGGAGAAGAACCUGGGUCUUCACUCUCCAUGUGCAUACUCCCACAACUUCUCAGAGUCCUGUGGACAAUGACUGAGGAGACAAACUAUGCAAGAAACAACC